rnacentral:rRNA from 1 species
AUGGGUUGUCCUGAGGAACGACAAAGGGAAGUUUAUUGCAGGGGUACUUGGAAAAUUGAUCAUUGCAUCGAUGCUCUAACAGCGGAAGCUUGGGCUCUCAGAUUCGGUCUUUUACUGGCGCAACGUGCGGGUUGCAAUCGCCUAGUUAUUAAUUUUGAUAAUUUGGAGGUUGUUGAAACGCUGAAUAAUGGCGGACGGUCAGCAGGAGCGGCGGCGGCAAUCUUUGAUGAUUGCUAUUUUUUGGCGUGUGAUUUUCCUACCUCUAGGUUUGAACAUUGUAAUAGGGAAGCCAAUAAGGUUGCGCACGAGCUUGCUAGGUUGGCUAGAUUUUCUUCUACCAUUGAUUGGUUUGAGGAGCCUAUGUUUGAGAUUGUACCAUUCCUCAGAAACGAUGUAUUUGUUAUUUCCGUUGAAUAA